rnacentral:rRNA from 1 species
UACGUAGGGUGCAAGCGUUGUUCGGAAUUACUGGGCGUAAAGCGCGCGCAGGCGGUCUUCCAAGUCAGUGGUGAAAGCCCGGAGCUCAACUCCGGAACUGCCAUUGAAACUGUGAGACUUGAGGAUGAGAGAGGUGAGUGGAAUUCCCAGUGUAGAGGUGAAAUUCGUAGAUAUUGGGAAGAACACCGGUGGCGAAGGCGGCUCACUGGCUCAUUUCUGACGCUCAGGCGCGACAGCGUGGGGAUCAAACAGG